rfam:Cricetulus griseus cell line CHO-K1, whole genome shotgun sequence.
AGAUGUGACAAUGGUUAUCUGGCUGCGACAUCUGUCACGCCAUUGCAUGUACCAGGGUGGAUUUAGCAGAUCUGGUUGGUUAGGUGGGUGCCCCCUUCCUCCUUCAUUGCUUUAUCUGUGUCCCUCCCAGAGCUGCUCACUCACUCAGAGAGGAUGACCUGGAUAGAGGAAGUUCAUUCAUAGGCCCAGGGUAUAUGCUGGAACCUUUAAACAAGUUCUCCAAGGACAAAAUUUGGAUCCAAUUUCCAAGUAAGGUCUGAGAACUGUU